rnacentral:lncRNA from 1 species
GGACACACCUGGCAAUGGAUGUGACAUUCAGCACUGCCCAGGUUUCUUUCACUUGGAGGAGGCAAACUGGUGAAUGGAAGGAGGCAAUCCUCUGGCAGUGGGAUGCUAGGGAGCGAUAAUAAGGCAAGUUUGCUUGCUUGAAGGCUGCUGGUAUUCAUGGUUGGAAGCUGGUGGAUGUUUCAUGAUGGACCUAAGAGAAGCUGGCAGAUGUUGGUGGAUGGAAGCCAGUGGCAUUUGGAUUUGGAAGUCGGUGGGGGCUACAAGGCUAAAGCAGACUGAUGUUUGUAGAUAUUGGCUGAUGGAAGUUCACCUUUGGAAGACUGUCAACAGAAGCCAGUGGAUAUUUGUGGACUGAAGCAGGGCACAAAGGUGAAUGGAUGUCAUGUUUUUGGAUGUCGGCUGGUAUAUGUUUGUGUGAGUAAAUGGGAGGUUUCAAAUGUAGUUUAGGCAGAAUGUUGCAUGUGCACGAAUGUGAUUUGUGGAAGGUAGAUAUUCAUGAAUAGAUGGAACCCGUGGGAGGGGGAAUAUUGGUUUCAUGGAAUCAGAGAAUCAGGAAAUUGAGUUUGUGAGGGACCUUGAGGGUCAUCUAGCCCAACCCCUUACAAUGCAGGAAUCUUUUGCCAAAUGUGGGGCUCAAACCCACUGGCGUGCUUCUGAACUCCUAGGUUGGCAGGAGCUGGGACAGAGCAAUGGGAGCUCACUCUGUCACGGGGAUUCAAACCGCCGUCCUUCUGAUCAGCAAGCCCAAGAGGAUCAGUGGUUUAGAUCACAGUGCCACCUGCACCCCAUGCAUGUAACAUAACUAUAAUAGCUGUCAAAGACUAAUAGUGUGAUAAUCCUAAACUGUAAAUUACUAGAAACAAUAGAAAGAAAUUUCACAGAUCUUGCAUCAUAGCACAUGCUACCAGAGUAAUUUAUUCACAAUCCCAUUUCACAGCUGUGUGUGCAGGACAGACAAGACUGUUGCACAAAGUACACAGUUGCUGUGGUUUUAUUUCAUUGAGUUGACUGUAGAGGUGACAGCUUUCCCUUGUCAUUCACAGUAGCAGGCCCUAUCAGUUCUGAGGCCACCUCAGUUGAUUGCCCAGUCACAAUGGCUGUAUGUCUAGGGCAGGAGUAGGCAACCUAAGGCCCGUGGAUCAGAUGCGGCCCAAUUGCCUUCUCAAUCUGGCCCAUGGAUGGUCCAGGAAUCAGCAUGUUUUUACAUGAGUAGAAUGUGUCCUUUUAUUUAAAAUGCAUCUCUGGGUUAUUUGUGGGGCAUAGGAAUUCAUUCAUUAUUUUUUUCAAAAUAUAGUUCAGCCCACCACAUGGCCUGAGGGACGGUGGACCGGCCCACGGCUGAAAAAGGUUGCUGACCCCUGGUCUAGGGCUUGGUCAACUCUAAGUCUAAGUCUACUUGGAAGAGAUGUCUCUUGGGAUGUUCACACCACUUUGGUUAUUAAGCUUCCAAACAAUAUAUGCAUAUGAGUAGGCAAUGUUCACCAUAUCUGAAAAAACAAUAGCACACCACUGGUUAUGUUUUGAUCAUACAUUUAAGAGUGUACUUGGAAGUCACAGGUGAAACAAAAGGCUUGGGAUAGAUUAUUUAAAACAAAAAAACACGUUUGGGUAAUCUCAAGUAUAUGCUAAUCAAUAGUGUCAUUCCCACAGUGAACUUUGAUCCACUUAUGAACUGGGUAAUGAACAGGACAUCUGCAUAAAAGUGAAAUCUUGAGUUUAUUAACAAUACUAGUUCUAAAGUGAGAUGACAGAUUAUAGUGCUAUGUUUGCUCAGAAAUUUAAGAGAAUGACUUGUCAGUGAAUUUUCACCCUGCACAGGGAAUAGAUUAUUAUUAUGUAAUAUCUCUCUCUCUCUCUCACACACACACACACACACACACGCGCGUGCACACACACACACACACACACACACAGAGAGAGAGAGAGAGAGAGAGAGAGUGGUGUGGUGGUUAAGAGUGGUGGACUCAAAAUCUGGUGAACCAGGUUCGCUUCCCUGCUCCUCCACAUGCAGCUGCUGGGUGACCUUGGGCUAGUUGGGUCCAGUGAUGGUGUUGUCUGGGUGCAUGUGGCAGCAAAGUUGGCAUCUAGGUUUAUUGCAGGCUCUGGUACCAGUGUCCGUGUUAAGUCUUCUUGCUGUAUUAUUGUGGGUGAGGAGUUUAAGAUUGGGUGGCUGUCAAGUUAACAUAUAAACUACGAGAGAAGGGCAACCGUGGCUUUAAGGAAGAAUGGGAACUUCUUACAUAUUUAAAAAGACAACAAAAGGACUUGGAUUCCUUGGCAGGUUUUGAAUAAACAUUCACAAAUUUAUUAGUAGAACAUAGGAUAGAUAAGGUAAUGAUAUGUAUAACUUUUUAACAUGCAGAGAAUAAUAUGUGCAAACAAAUCAAAGAGGGGAGCUGAGGGAUGGGAGGGAAUAAAAAGAGGAGAAAUGCAAUUGGUUAUAUUGAUUCAUAAUUUGUUUGUUAGAAUUGUUCAAUAAAAAUAUAUUUUAAAAAAAAAGAUUGGAUGGCUGUCUAAACUUAGUUGGUCUCUAAGGUGCUACUGGACAAUUUUUUAAUUUUUUAUAUAUUUCGACUGCAUCAGACCAGCACGGCUACCUACCUGAAUCUAGAAGCAUUCCUUUGAAUAGGCUAUCUGGCUUAAGGAUUUGGAGGGGAGGUUGCAAGUUUCUCAGUUCUACUUAGCUGCUUGGUUUCUGAAGUUGGUGCCGGGAGUCCACUGUGCUCGGCUCAAUUGUAUUUAUCCUGAUUUACUUGUAAAAGGGUAAACGAGUAUUGGGAAAUGAUCCAUAAUGAAUUGGAAAAAACAUUUAAAAGUACUCCCCCCCCAAAAAAAAAAAAACCAGAGUCCUUUCUGUUGGGGAUAAUUCAGACUGAAAUUCCCAGGUGUCAAAAAAAGGUUAUUUAUGUAUGCUACGUUUUGUUAGCACCAAAAUGGAGCGAGGUCCCAACCAAAGAAGAAUGGCAACUUAAGUUGACAGAAUAUUCACAAAGCGUGUUCUCCUUCAUGGAGAGCAUGUGUUAUGGUGGGGGCUAGCAAGACACCCACUGUUGCUGGGUGGGGAAAAGAGUUUGGCCAUCAUUAUCAUUGAGCUCACUGUUGCUGGGGAGAUUUAAAUGUCGCCAUUUCGUGAUUGACAGCUAAAGCUUUUAAAUACCCUGCGCACAGCACUGAGCUUCCUUUUUUUGCUGCGUGCAUUGGAUCACCCACCCUCCCUCCCUAUUUUCAGGUGGUUCACUUGACCUUGCUAUGCCUGUCAUGGGGUCGUCUGCUUUUGGGGCAGGGGCCCGAUAGGAUUUUUGUCCAUUUGGCUGAUUGGCUGGUGCCAUUUGGUUUUUGCCUACUGCGUAGCAAAUCGUCAUAACUUGUAAGGUUCAUAGCUGUCAACUUUUCCCUUUUCUUGCAAGGAAUCCUAUUCAGAAUAAGAGGAUUUCCCUUUAAAAAAGGGGAAAGUUGACAGCUAUGGUAAGGUUGCGGUUAGGCAUUGGCUUAGGAAUUGGUUGGUGGAGGGGCAUGGAUUGGCUGUGCCUGCCCCUCCGAAAUGCUGCUCCUGCAAGGGUAUCCCAUUAAAGGAAUCCAGGGGCUCGCCAUACUUUUGUCCUAACCCCUGUCAAGGGGCUAGGGCCACACAAGAGCCCCUGGGAGCAUUUGGGGAGAGGUGAGGCAUGGUCCCCAGUCCUGUCUCUCUCCCCAAAAUGUUUUCCCUUUCUGACUUUGCGGGCGUGCAAAUGUCAGUCUGUCCCCCUGCGGGGUCAGAUAGUCGCAUCCAAUGCCUAAGCAACCACUCACAUCGCUUGUAAUUUUAGUAAAGUUGUGGCCAAAAUUAUGCCAAUAACCUUAAAACUAAAAUCAUGUGUCAAUUGUCUUUAACGGGGGGGGGUGUCUUGGGGACCUCGACAUGCAACUCGCAGACUUAACAUAUAGAAUAAGAGAACAAGAAGAGCAUACGUUUAAAGAAGACUGGAAAACGUUUAUUGAAUAUAUGGGAAAUAAUUGUGUACAGCUGAAAAUGCUGGCAGCAUUAAGAUAAAUUCAACAGUGUAAACAAGUUUCGAUGGCUGCAAGAAUGGAAUAAUGAAUGGUAUCCUUUUUGUAAAAUAUGCAGGGAUUUAUGGUACGCAAAAUGAACCACAGAAAGAGAAGAAGGGAAGUCAUUGAUAUCUUAAGGAUGUAAAAUGAGUAUUUUAAAUUGUAAAACAGAAAACUGAAUAAAAUUAUAUAACCCGAGUGAUUUUAAACUUCCACACAAAACCACCAAGUGCAAAAGCGUAUGUUGAAAUAUUUAACAGUGAGAUAAUCAAGAAGGUUGAUUGUCCGAACCACUUUCUGAAUUCAGGCUUCUUCUUCAUUUUUAUUUUUUUAAGCUUUACAAAGGCUUGUGAAUCAUGUAGAUAAAUUUGUUAAACUGUGGGCAGGAUUCCUGCAUUGGACUAGAUGAUCAUUGAGGUCCUUCCAACUCUACAAUUCUAUGAUUCUGUAAUUUCUUUAGCUUUUUUUAUAUGCAUGGAACCAUUACCAUGCAUUGUGAUGGUACAUAUACAGUGGUACCUCGGGUUACAAACUUAAUUCUUUCUGGAGGUCUGUUCUUUCGCUAAUGGGGCCUCCUGCUGCUGCCGCACUGCCCCCCCCACAAUUUCCAUUCUCUUUUCUUUUUUUUAAUGAUAUUUAUUAAGUUUUCAAAGAAAAAAAAUUACAUAGAUAAAAAGAAUAGAAGAGAAAACAAAAAUAAAAAUAACAAAAAAGAAAAAUACAAAAUACAGAAAAAAGAUUUAAAAAAAAAUUAAAAAGAAAACACAUCAAUCUUUCCAUAUCAUAUAUUCAUAUCCUUACUUCCCUGACCUCCUCACACCUCCCUUUUUUGUAUUCCAAUUCAAUUAGUUAAUUUAGCAAUUUCUUUCCCUCUUUGUUUUUAUCUUAAUCCUUUAACUUAAUAUAAUAUAACUUUGAGUUCUACCUGUUAAUAAUCCAUUUUUCAUACACCUUUAUAACAUUACUGCUUAAACCACUUAACUUCAUUCUGACAUCAUUCUAACAUUCAUUAAUUUUGCAAUAUUUCUGUAAAUAGUCUUUAAAUUUCUUCCAAUCUUCUUCCACCGACUCUUUUCCCUGGUCUCGGAUUCUGCCAGUCAUUUCCGCCAGUUCCAUGUAGUCCAUCACCUUCAUCUGCCAUUCUUCCAAGGUGGGUAGAUCUUGCGUCUUCCAAUACUUUGCAAUAAGUAUUCUUGCUGCUGUUGUGGCAUACAUAAAGAAAGUUCUGUCCUUCUUUGGCACCAAUUGGCCGACCAUGCCCAGGAGAAAGGCCUCUGGUUUCUUCAGAAAGGUAUAUUUAAAUACCCUUUUCAUUUCAUUAUAAAUCAUCUCCCAGAAAGCCUUAAUCCUUGGGCACGUCCACCAAAGGUGAAAGAAAGUACCUUCAUUUUCCUUACAUUUCCAACAUUUAUUAUCGGGCACAUGGUAAAUUUUUGCAAGCUUGACUGGUGUCAUGUACCACCUGUAUAUCAUUUUCAUAAUAUUCUCUCUUAAGGCAUUGCAUGCCAUAAACUUCAUACCUGUGGUCCAUAACUGUUCCCAGUCAGCCAUCAUUAUGUUAUGUCCAACAUCUUGUGCCCAUUUAAUCAUAACAGAUUUCACCGUUUCAUCCUGUGUAUUCCAUUUCAACAGCAAGUUGUACAUUUUUGACAAAAUCUUAGUUUUGGGUUCUAACAAUUCUGUUUCUAAUUUUGAUUUUUCCACCUGGAAGCCAAUUUUCUUGUCCAAAUUAUAUGCCUCCAUUAUCUGAUAAUAAUGAAGCCAGUCUCGCACUUUGUUUUUUAAUUUCUCAAAACUCUGCAAUUUCAGUCUAUCUCCCUCUUGUUCCAAAAUUUCCCAAUAUUUCGGCCAUCUGGCCUCCAUAUUGAGCUUUUUCUGAGCUUUCGCUUCCAUCGGUGACAGCCACCUUGGGGUUUUGUUUUCCAGUAAGUCCUUAUAUCUUAUCCAAACAUUAAACAAUGCUUUCCUGACAAUGUGGUUUUUAAAUGCUUUAUGUGCUUUGACCUUGUCAUACCACAAAUAUGCAUGCCAUCCAAAUACAUUAUUAAAACCUUCUAAAUCCAAAAUGUCUGAGUUUUCAAGAAGCAGCCAUUCUUUCAACCAGCAAAAGGCUGCUGAUUCAUAAUAAAGUUUAAGGUCUGGCAGGGCAAAUCCACCUCUUUCCUUUGCAUCCGUUAGUAUUUUAAAUUUUAUUCUAGGCUUCUUGCCCUGCCAGACAAAUCUAGAGAUAUCUCUCUGCCACUUCUUGAAACAGUCCAUUUUGUCCAAAAUUUCCGUUCUCAUCCUGGGGCAAAGUUCAUAACCCGAGGUACUACUUCCAGGUUAGCGGAGUUUGUAACCCGAAGCGUUUUUAACCCAAAGUGUUUGUAACCCUGUAUAGAUGUAUCUAUUGCAAGUUAGUUGCCAACUUCUGAAUUUUGCUGCAGAUACAACCAGGUUCUCAUAGCAGUGUUUUAAUGGGUACAGUUUUACUCUUCUUUAAUUUCGUCCCUUUACAUAUUGUUGCUUAUUGUAGCUUUGCUGUGGUGUCCUGUUGCCAAUAAUGUUUCCAUCCCUCGAGUCUUCUAUUCGGUCCCUCCACUCCGAUUAGUAAUAGUAUACAUGGAUUCAAUCCUAUUACUUAGUAUGGAGCUCUAUAAACCUCAAAGAACUGAAGUGAAUGAAUAUUUAAAUUAUGCUUCAUCUUGAGAAAAUUCUAUACUGUGAAAGUAAACAACUUGGUUUUUUUCUGCUGCAAGAGCAAAUAAUUCAGUGCUCUAAAACCUUUCAAAAUGAGAUUUUUUUUUACUUGUAGCCUAAACCUUUGGCUGUCUUCCAGCCAUUUGCAUUUCACAUGGAUUCCUACAUUAGGGAGGGGGCAGGUCCCUAAUGUUUCUCCUACUUUGAUGAUUUCAAAAUUAAAUUAUUCAUAGUCUUCUUGUCUUUUAACUCUCCACCCUUCUUUCCAAGAAAGUAACUUCUCAAAGUUUAUAGUCAAGGAAAUGGAAAACUGAAAUAUGCAGACUCCCUUGGAACGCAAAGCAGCCCCCUUAAGACUUAAAUUCUCAGUGGCAAACAUAUAUCACACAGAAUUCGAAUGGUGGGGUUCUUUUUGGCUAGGCUAUUAUAAGAGUUUUCCCUUUCUCAGUUCUUUAUGGGAACGUCUACCACUGCUUCCUCCAACCUGGUGCCUUCCCAAUAUUUUCAACUGCAACUCUCCUCAUCACAGACCAUGUUAGCUAGGCUUAGUGGAAGUUGUAGUCCAAAGAAAUCUGUAGGGAUCCAGUUUGUGAAAGGCAGAUCUACGGCCAUUUCAGGCCCAUUAGCAGUGGAGAUGGAGAUGUAGACAGGAGAUUCUGAGCAUCUCUAUGCCCAAUUUGCUCCUCCUCUCCAAAACCUAGAUUUAGAGUUGCGCCAUGCUGGUACUCACACAAUUCUAGUGUUUCAUGCAGCUAGGCAUUUACACUGUAUGGACCUUCAUGUAUCCAAGACACCCUUGUAGCUUUUGCUGCAAGAUACGGCCAAAUAUAUUUCUCCUCUGACUACCAACUGCAUUUGCAGAGGGAUUCAGUAUGCACAUGGAACCUCACUUGUGAUCAUCUGACGUAGCCCAAAUUCAGCUACUACAGCUCACUUACCUAUUAGGUCAAUGGAAUGGUGGGUUUAUUUAUUUACUUACUUAGGGGGAGAAGCCAUUGAUAUUAAUUUACACUGACAAUCCUUAUGGAUCUUCAGGAAUAAUAUCGCCCCCAAAAAUUGCACCAGACAUCUUGAUUCAAGUGAUGUAUGAUACUAUUAUACAGCCUCUUACUGUCCAGUAUUCCAAAUUAACUAGAGCUCUUAAAGACUUUUCAAUCCCAUUAUGGCACUCAGAAGCUGAAAUACGUAAGGAAACAGACUCCGCGCCAACUCUGCCUUUGAUUACUGCAGCUCUCUUUACUGUUUCAUCUUUAAUUUCACCUGGAUGCUCACACCCCUCUUUAUAGUAAUCUGCUAAAAUAGUUUGCCACCAGCUACUCUGAUCAUAUCUAGUUUCUCAGUUCCUUCACUCGUUUCUCCCUGUAUAUGAACUCAGCUCUCCCCAUCUUAUGUCUUAUCACGACAUUCCUUCCCCAAAUCUUUGUUAUUGUGAUUCCACUGCCUUCAAUCAUCAUAGGUCAUUCAUGCGACAUGCAGGAUCACUUGUCCUAUAUUCAUGCUUACCUGUGCAUACAAAAUCAGUAUUCUAUCUAUCUCUGCCAACUCCUAAUAAAGGUAAAGGGACCCCUGACCAUUAGGUCCAGUCGUGACCGACUCUGGGGUUGCGGCGUUCAUCUUGCUAUAUUGGCUGAGGGAGCCGGCGUACAGCUUCCAGGUCAUGUGGCCAGCAUGACUAAGCCGCUUCUGGCGAACCAGAAACUCCGUUUACCUUCCUGCCGGAGCGGCACCUAUUUAUCUACUUGCACUUUUUGUGGGGAUUCGAACUGCCAACCUUCGGAUCAGCAAGUCCUAGGCUCUGUGGUUUAACCCACAGCGCCACCCGCACCCCCCAACUCCUAAUAGCCCUCUGCAAAUAACAUGAAACCCAGGAAUAUUCAAGGCAUGGUUUGGGGGAGCAGCAGUGCUUUUUUUCUUUAAAAAAAUGUUUAGGGGUACUCUCAUUUUCCUACUCAUCUUGAAAGACUGCCCCUCAAUGAGGCCAAACUUAGAUUCACAAAAUGUUUAGGGAUAUGCAUACCCCUGUGUACCCCCAGAAAAAGCACUGGAUUGUGCCUGAUGACUCUACUCCCAAGCUUCACAUAUUCAUUCACUCUUGCAUGGAACCUGCAUAUCCAUUUCAUUCUACAUCAUUCAUUCAAGAGUCACAUCAUAGGAGACAACCUGGACCAGGAGUGGAGAACCUCAGGCCCAGUGGACACAUAUAGCCCACCACCACCCUGGCCUCUCUACUCAGCCCUUGGGAUUCUUCUCAGUCAACAACACCCCCCUUAGACCAACCCCCUUAUUCCCAUGCCCCACCCCUCAGCAGCCCUACUCCAUGCCCUCCUCGAGUGCUUUUGUGUCAGGAACUGGCUGGAUGAAGCAGAGUGGUGGGUGCCGCCAGCCCAGGAAUGACACAGAAGAAUACAACUUAGACCCCGGGUCAUGGUGGUGGGACACUGGGGAGCAGUCUGGGGGAUGGAUGAGCUGGGAGGUGCUAGUGUUGGGAUGCAGCCAAGGAAUCGGGGGCAACUGGCAGGCCCCAGACGGCCCCAGACCACCGGCCAGUGUGCCAGGCAAUCUCCAGUCCUUGGAUCAGCAUAAUACUGUGACCCUAGCUUCGGAAAGCCUUCAGAAGGUGGGCACACACACUCAGCAGAGUAAAUAACGCUGUGCAACAGAAAUGACAGAGGGAGGCCAUGUUGAGCAUAUUUAUUCAGCAUACAUCAGGACAAAAGGAAAACAUGUCUUCUCCCUUUCGUGUCCAAAAGCAAGCGGCUAAAAGCGAACGCUAUACACAAAUGGAAGUUCCCAGCUAGCUGUGCUGGAGUGUAAACAGGAAUGUGACAUACAACAGUCAUGCCUGUACUUAAGGUGGAACGGAAUAUCCUAACAGCUAGAAGCAGGAGGUUGGAGUGGUCAAGGGGGUCAGAAGGAGGAGGCCCUUCCAGGGCAGGCUGAGACUCACAGUGUGAGCUUAGACUCAGACAGAGAGGAGUCAGAGGUUGCUGUCGCUACCCAGCAGCAGGACAGUCCCAGUCCUGUUGGCUCUCCCUCUGACACCCACCCAAGGAGAGUCCUGCACACUGCCGAGCAAUGGGCCAGACAGGCUCACAGGAGAAGAAGAAGAAGAGUUUGGAUUUGAUAUCCCGCUUUAUCACUACCCGAAGGAGUCUCAAAGCGGCUAACAUUCUCCUUUCCCUUCCUCCCCCACAACAAACACUCUGUGAGGUGAGUGAGGCUGAGAGACUUCAAAGAAGUGUGACUGGCCCAAGGUCACCCAGCAGCUGCAUGUGGAGGAGCGAAGACGCGAACCCAGUUCACCAGAUUACGAGUCCACUGCUCUUAACCACUACACCAUGCUGGCUGGAGGAGACCACCCCUGCGCUGCCAUCUUCAUCUGCUGGGGAGGGAUCCAGAGUGUGAGGCUAGAGGGGUAGGGAAGAGCCAGUGGUCAGUUUCAGCAAUGUCUGCAGCUGAAUUGAGACAAGCCAGAGGAGCCCUGUGAUAUUGUUACUUUCUUUAAAUAAAAGCUAAUGGCAUUUUGUGCCUCAAGAUCUUUCCCACCCUGUGAAUGAUCUGCGCUUGCCUGACAGCUCCUUGACAUUUUUUUUCCAUAUCAUUUUUAUUAGUUUUACAAUAAUACUUUCCAUUGCAAUAUCUCCUCUUAUAUUAUACAUUUUGGCUUUUUAGGGCCCUGACUUCUUUCAAACCUUCCUUAUGAUUUUCUAUCUUUCAUUUCAAAUUUCUGCAUUUUCACUAUUUAACCAUUGCUUUAAAAUCCAAAACAUUAAAACAUCAUACAUUCUUAUUCUUAUCUGCAGUGGUUUUUGUACCUUUCCUUACAAAGCUGCUUGCAAGCCUACCAACGUAUUGACAGCUCCUUGACAUUUUGACUGUCUGGAAUGUGACGUUCAGUUGUGAUCAUGCCUCUAACUUGACUAAAUGGAAAAUUGUACAUGUAGAAACCUUUCACAUUUACAUGGCUGAAAUGCAGCUUACUGUGCAAAAGUAAGAGUCAUAUCUGUUGCUCCACCCAUUUUUCCUCUGGCCCCACCCACCACUGUCAUGUUGUUCCUGUAACGUGGCAACGUGGCCCUUUGUCUGCCAAAAGUUCCCCACCCUGAUCUAGACCAAUGCAACUUAUUUACGAAUAUAGCCAGAUAGCUCAAUCAAUGUUUAAAGGUUGAGAGAAGAGGAGGCCUGGGCACAUUUGUAUUACUCCCUCCAGGUGACUCUGUUCAGAUUGCAUAUAUAUAUAUAUAUAUAUAUAUAUAUAUAUAUAUAUAUAUAUACACACACACACACAGAGAGAGAGAGAGAGAGAGAGAGAGAGAGAGGGAUUAUUUCUCAUUCUAAAUUACUAGAUUGCUACACUUUCUCACUCUUUGUCUCUUUCUCUUAUACACACACAGAGCCACAUUUCUGUGGGGGAAAGCAAAGUUUAAGUUACAUUAAAACAUCACAUUUCAAUGCAUCAUAUAUGAUGCUGACCAUCAUAUUUCAUCAUAUAAUAUAUAACCCAUUUAUAUAUUAGAUUAUAAAAUCUCUGGAAUAUGGGCUAGAUUUUCAAGUAUUCCCUCUCUUGAUUCUAAAUAUGAAUUAUUAUAACUGUAACAAAAAUGCAAGAAUUUCCAUUUCCACCAGCUAAAGUUUUGAGUCUUGCAGCAGCAUCUACUAUAGUUCUACACACUGCUUAGGCAGAGAUGACAUUCAACUCCCGUCUCAUCAAAAUAGUGGCAUUUUCUUUACCUUUAAAAUAACUGUUUGUGCAUAUUUCUUUUUUAGCUGCUCUCCCUGUAUGCCCACAUGCAGAAUUAGCACAUGGGAUGUGAUAUUGAAGGAGGCUGAAAGAGACAAUGUGAAUUAUUCCACAGAACAAUGCCAUUUCCACUUCAAAAGAAAAAAGAAUGGGUGGGUGGGGGGAGUGAUGAAUUGGGGAAAGAGAGACAGUGUGUGUUUCACCAGCACAAUAAAUGAAAUUGGGCCAGGGCCUGGUAAUACCAUAAUGAACAUUACAGCAACUGGAAACACAGUUCAGUAGAACCUCUACUUAUGACCGCCUCUACUUGGGCCUGAUCCAAGUUUCGACGGUGGCAAACCCAGAAGUAAAUACAGGGUUUGCCGCGAUUCGUGCACGUGUAGAAGUGGCUUCUGCUGUUUGUGCACGCACAUAAGCGGCUGCCGCCAUCUGCACAUGCGCAGAAGUGCGCCGCCGCUGAAUGCACACGUGCAGAAUGGCGCUUCUACCAGUGACCCGGAUCAACUUACAGACGGACCUCCAGAACUGAUUAUGUCCAUAAGUAGGAGUUCCACUGUAGUUAAAAUAUGAAUACUUUAAGUAAGAGCCGAGACUAUAACCCUAAUACCUCCCCUGACGUUGAAAGCUGUGGGUCAUGAGGAUAACCCAACCCAGAUGGGUGGGGUAUAAAAAAAAAUAUUAUUAUUAUGCACUCAACUAGAGUGAAGGCUUUAGUUGCACCCUAACACAGUGUCUUCAACCUUGGGUCCCUAAAUGUUGCUGAAGUACAACUCUCAUCAUCUCAGACCAUUGACUAAGUUAACUGGGGGCAAUGGAAAUUGUAGUCCAUCAACAUCUGGGGACACAGAUUUGAAGUCUGCUGCCCUCGCGGACGGAGAGCUACUGCUGGCAAUUCUACCACCAAUGGAAACAAGCAGAAAACCCUCAAAUUAGGUGCUUGGGAAUGAGAGGCAGGUCACUGACAGGUUUGGAUCUGCUGGUUCCAAAGCCUAUGGAUCUCCCGAAAAGUCAGGUUCUUCAGUCCAUCAGCUACCAGACUCUGGAGCUGCCAUAGUGGGGGGAAAUGUGACAAAAUCACCCCCCCCCCUUUGCUGUCAAUGAUAGGGCAGGGCUUGACAUGUAGUGGUCAAUUUGUCACAUCAUUCAACCCCUGCAAAGAGAAAUUUCCUCUUAGGAUUCCUCUGUCAAUGUCGUUCAGAAAAUGUGUGCAACUGCAAUGUAUAUUUUAUAACCAUUUUCAGUCAUACCUGAACAAUCGUUAACAGUUUAGAAACUACUGAGGGGAGGUGUGAGAAUGACAAGGAUUGUCUAUGUUUAAGCAAAUUACCUAUUGUGAAGAAAAUGGAGGAGGCUGCAAUCUGGAAAUGUCAUAAGGUUAGCAUGCUUUGCUUAUAGCCUCAAGGACAACAGGCUACUGAAGUCUGUUUCUUUUCAUCUUAAAAACAAUCACUGUUUGUAUCAUGGAAGCAUAAGAUUAAGGAGGAUACUUAAGGAUUCAUUCUAAUGAAACCAGUAAGGGUAGAAUCUUAUCCGGCACGCCUCGAAAUUAUGAAGGAUAUUCAUAGACACAGGGGAGCUCAAAGGGAUGGGAAGAGUAUCUCAUCCAAAGCCCUUACCCAGAGGCAAGAAUUUGUAUAUGUUUAUCCACUAAAGAUUAACACACAUUAUCUGGAUUAUAACAUGCUACAAGCAGGAAGCAGGAACUAACACGAUCCACCACGCCAGAGGUGCUUGCAGGCAAGGGAUGAUAUAGUAAACUAAGUAGCUAAGCCAAAUAAAAACAGAAGGUGGUAAAAACAAAUUUGGGAAGCUGGAAAGGGUCCUCAAUCCCUAAAAGGGAUUGGUUAAUCUGUCAUUUUCAGUUUCUGAUUUUCCCAGCCUUAAAAUCAGUUCUCCACAUUGGUUUGCAUUUUAAAGAGCCUGUCCUCAUGAAAAUUCAUAGCGUUUGUAUGUGUGUUUCAAUUCAUAAGCAUAAUCUUGUAUGCAAAUUUGUCCAAUAUACCUUUUUAUUGAAGAAUAUUACUGAUGACGUGGAUUUAGAUUCACGCUUUACGCUUGUGCAUGCAGUUUGAUACACAUCACUUGGCUCCGAAAUCGUCUUGCAAAAUUCGGAGAACUGAGAGUUUGUUGUAUGGCUGUGUUUUGAUUCACACAUUGCUUCAGAAAGUGUGACUUGGGUAGGUUCAACAUAAAAUAUGAACCACACUGAAUUACCACCUCCACCCCCCACCCCUAACCCUUAACCAGCCUGAGUCAGUGAACAAUUAAUUCCUGGCUCCACUAUGGAUAUUAGCUAAGGUCACUUUGCAGAGUCAUUUUCACCUACAUUUAAGCAACAGUAUCUGGAUUAAGCUCCCUAACCGUUCAACAAAACUGUUAAAAUCAUAUUCCUGUGUUGUACAAUAGAGCACCUGGUAGCUAACUAAUUUCUAUGGUGGCUUGCAUGAAUGUUUACUUUUCAGACCUAACCCGAGUGUUUCGCUUUUAACAGUUGCUACAAUUGUAGUUUUUGCACUGAUGGUGAUUGACAUAAAGGUCUUUGUGUGUUUUGUUUAGUUGCUCGUCUGCUUCACAGCAAGCUCUGUCGGUUUGUAAAAAGGUCAAGGAUUCUGUGCUCCGGAUCCACCACAGAACUGUCCAUCAGAGUGAAUAAAACAACAGAUAAACCUGUC